rnacentral:lncRNA from 1 species
GUUUAAACUUACACGAAUCGCUCUCUUGAGGAGGAGGGAACCGCCGCGCGAUUGACACGCAUAUUCCUAUAGGCAUCCUCCCUCAGCCCCCACCCCCACGGCCGGAUUCGGGUGGCUCCUCUCCGAGCUGAAAUCCGAGAAGAAAUCUCCUUGGAUCUCUUGUUAAAAAAAAAAAAAAAAAAAAAAUCCAGAAACCGUCGGUAUUUUGCUUUCCUGCUUCCUUUUCGCAUGAUGAAGAAGUUUUUCGACUCCAGGCGAGAGCAGGGUGGCUCUGGCCUGGGCUCCGGCUCCAGCGGAGGAGGGGGCAGCACCUCGGGCCUGGGCAGCGGCUACAUCGGACGGGUCUUUGGCAUUGGGCGACAGCAGGUCACUGUGGACGAGGUGCUGGCGGAAGGUGGAUUUGCCAUCGUGUUUCUGGUGAGGACAAGCAAUGGAAUGAAAUGUGCCUUGAAACGCAUGUUUGUCAACAACGAGCAUGAUCUCCAGGUGUGCAAGAGAGAAAUCCAGAUAAUGAGGGACCUGUCGGGGCAUAAGAACAUCGUGGGUUACAUUGACUCCAGUAUCAACAGUGUGAGUAGCGGUGAUGUGUGGGAAGUUCUCAUCCUGAUGGACUUCUGCAGGGGAGGCCAAGUGGUCAACCUGAUGAACCAGCGCCUGCAAACAGGUUUUACAGAAAAUGAAGUACUCCAGAUAUUUUGUGACACCUGUGAAGCUGUCGCCCGCCUGCAUCAGUGCAAAACUCCUAUUAUCCACCGUGACUUGAAGGUUGAGAAUAUUCUCUUGCAUGACCGAGGCCACUAUGUCCUGUGUGACUUUGGAAGUGCUACCAACAAAUUCCAGAACCCACAAACGGAAGGAGUCAAUGCAGUAGAAGAUGAGAUUAAGAAGUACACAACGCUGUCCUAUCGCGCACCAGAGAUGGUCAACCUGUAUAGUGGCAAGGUCAUCACGACGAAGGCAGACAUUUGGGCUCUCGGAUGUUUGUUGUAUAAAUUAUGUUACUUCACUUUGCCAUUUGGGGAGAGUCAAGUGGCAAUUUGUGAUGGAAACUUCACAAUUCCUGAUAACUCUCGAUAUUCCCAAGACAUGCACUGCCUAAUUAGGUAUAUGUUGGAACCAGACCCUGACAAAAGGCCGGAUAUUUACCAGGUUUCCUACUUCUCAUUUAAACUACUCAAGAAAGAAUGCCCAAUUCCAAAUGUACAGAACUCUCCCAUUCCUACAAAGCUCCCUGAACCAGUGAAAGCCAGUGAGGCAGCUGCAAAGAAGACCCAGCCAAAGGCCAGACUGACAGAUCCCAUUCCCACUACAGAGACGUCAAUUGCACCCCGCCAGAGGCCUAAAGCUGGGCAGACUCAGCCCAACCCAGGAAUCCUCCCCAUCCAACCAGCCCUGACCCCUCGGAAGAGGGCCACAGUUCAGCCCCCACCUCAAGCCGCAGGAUCCAGCAAUCAGCCUGGUCUUUUAGCCAGUGUUCCUCAACCAAAAACGCAGCCCCCACCCAGUCAACCGCUACCACAGUCUCAGCCCAAGCAGCCUCAGGCUCCUCCCACCUCACAGCAGCCGCCUUCCACACCAGCCCAGGCUCUGCCCACCCAGGCCCAGGCCACACCCCAGCACCAGCAGCAACUCUUCCUCAAGCAGCAGCAGCAGCAGCAGCAGCAGCAGCAGCAGACAGCGCCAUCUGCACAGCAGCCAGUGGGCACGUUCUACCAGCAGCCGCAGCAGCAGGCCCAGGCUCCGCAGAUUCAGGCCCCAGUAAGACAACAGCCGAAGGUUCAGACAACCCCACCUCCUACCAUCCAGGGGCAGAAACUUGGAUCUCUCACUCCUCCAUCAUCCCCCAAGGCCCAGCGUGCUGGGCACAGGCGAAUUCUCAGCGAUGUGACCCACAGCGCAGUCUUUGGGGUCCCUGCCAGCAAAUCAACCCAGCUGCUCCAAGCAGCUGCAGCUGAGGCCAGUCUCAAUAAGUCCAAGUCUGCAACCACCACUCCUUCAGGCUCCCCUCGGGCCUCCCAGCAAAAUGUUUAUAAUCCUUCAGAAGGUUCUACGUGGAAUCCCUUUGAUGACGACAAUUUCUCCAAACUCACAGCUGAAGAACUGCUAAACAAGGACUUUGCCAAGCUGGGGGAAGGCAAAUAUCCUGAGAAGCUUGGAGGCUCUGCUGAGAGUUUGAUCCCAGGCUUUCAACCAACCCAAGGUGAUGCUUUUGCUGCUCCCUCAUUUUCCGCUGGAACUGGUCUCCAGAGAGAGCCCAUUCCCUCUCCUGUAAUAACUGUAGAGCACUUUAAAGAAUCGACGGGUGUUAAAGGCCUUCCCCUGUACCCGGACCCCUCCCGGGUACCUGGCACGAAAACUCAGAACAGUCUAGAAUCUGACUACUUGGCCCGAGAUGGCCCUUCCAGCAACAGUUCGUUCCACAGCAGUGAAGAGGAGGGGACCGACCUCGAGGGGGACAUGCUGGACUGCAGUGGCUCUCGCCCUCUGCUCUUGGAGUCGGAGGAAGAGGAUGAGAGCUGCAAGCCUCCGCAGGGGAAGCUAGGAGGAGCCACUCCCUUCACUCAGCCGGAGGUCACUUCCGCGCAGGCCAAGGCCUCGCAAGGUGGGAGGAAGAACCAAUUCGGAGCCCUCACCCAGCCGACCGCUGAUGGACUCGGUGAGCCAGAUGUGUUUGCCACUGCUCCCUUCCGGAGUUCAAGGAUUCCCGCUGAUGACAUUUUUGCCAAAGCCCCCUUUGUCUCCAAGGGCAACGUGGCCCUUUCCCAGCCAGAGGAGACGGAUGUGUUCUUGAGAGCUCCCUUUACCAAGAAGAAAGGCAUGGAGGAGUCAGCAGUUGCCCAGAGCCCCGCCCAGGAGCAGCCCGGUCUCCUCAGUCAGACCGAUGACAUCCCUCUGCUCCCAGGCCUGGAUCGAGCCGUGUACCCGUCCGCCCGAGCUCAGUAUUCCACUGCUGGCUUUGCCCAGCCGUCUAACCUCCCCUCCCAUCCUGUACAAGCAGCAGACCAUCUUGACAGCAUCUCUUCCAGGGGCUCUUCCCUGGAAUCUGGGGCCCAUCCUAAUGACAGAAACAAAGGACCUCAGCCCCAGAAAGAAGCUGUCUCAGGCCCCGUGGCAGGCAAACCAUUCCGCCCCCAGUCUUUAUCCAAAUAUUCCCGUCACUAUAGCCCGGAAGAUGAGCCGAAUCCAGAAGCCCAGCCCAUUGCUGCCUACAAAAUUGUUUCGCAAACCAAUAAGCAGUCGAUAGCUGGCUCCGUUUCCAUCACAUCCCUUGCCUCCAGGACUACGGAGCUGCCAGCUGCUGAUCCUUUUGCUUUAGCACCCUUUCCUUCAAAGUCAGGCAAACAGAAACCUUAGGAGCCAUGCCUGAGCCUCAGGCCUCUGUCUCUACCCUACCCUCAAUACCCACCACAUCACUCCCAGCUGAGCCUUCCUGAGAAGAUUUAUAUCAAUUAUUCUCUUUCAGUUCCGUGAGUCAGAGCAGAACUUCUUGAGUCAACAAACUCAGUCGAGGUGAUACUUAGUUGAAACUCCCUUAAGUUAUGCUCAUUGCUUUUGUUUAUAUUGAUUUCUGGACUUUGGGUGAGUGUGUCCAUCUUCACCUCCACCCAGAACUCUGCUUUCUGUUGUGUGCCUAGAAACUGUUUUAAUCUCAAACUGCUUGUCAGUAAAUCCAGAAAUAACUUCCCGAAGGGGCCAUGGUAUUGCUACUUUGAUUCCUGUAGUUCCUGUUCUGAGUCAUGUCUAAUGAGGAAUUAAGAUGAGUUCCUCCCAGACUUGGUUUCAUACUCUUGAAAAGGGUACAUUUCAGGAAAGAAACACAAGAUAAAAAUUCUGCUCAUCAAAAGGAAGUGUGAUCCUGAAGAUACUAAUCAUUCCUCUAAAACCAGCAACUCUAGAAAGCUUCUCUGGAUCUGAGUCUGUAGGCCACCCUGGUCCUCAUGCGUGAGUGUCGGUGGGUGUGUAAUGUGUGUUAGAUCCUUACCUUUGUAGAGAUGCAAACAUGAGAUUUCUGUGCUGGUGUCUGAUAGUGUGGAGCCUUCUCCCACGUGCACACUUUAAAAAUUCAUGUGAGUGCACAGCUGUGUGUGUACACUUCUGUUUGCACAGGAAACGUUCUUCCUUUAGGUAAAUCCUGUCCCACCUCGCGUACCUCCACAAUCACUCAUUUGCUGGUAUUUGUUCUCCUAACCUAACUUACGUGAACCCUGUUUUUAUUGCAUUCUUUUCUCAUGGCAAAAUUUAAUUUAUUGGAAUGAGUAGGAAAAUCCUGCUGGAAUGCAAUUUUCUAAGUAGAUUGUUUUUUCCUUUAGAAUUUGCUAUUAACAUUUCAUUUACAAAGUCUUGAAAAAUUAAC